UAUGCCCAUACCACAUUGAAACACCAGUUCUCGUACAAUCUCUGUGGUUAAGCAAUAUUGAGUUUGGUCAGUACCUAGAUGGGUGACUGCUUAGGAAUAUUUAGUGCC